ensembl:lncRNA
ACUGACCCCGCCUUCCUCAGCACCAUCCACGAGGCCUACCGCCAGAGCCUGGCCAAGGACUUCUCAAACAUGGGGCUAUAGCUCCACCCCCCCCUGUCAACAUCAAGACUCUCCAUGCUCCCACCCCAUCUGAGGGACUGAGUACCUGCCCCCAAAGAGGACCCAGACUAGAGGCUUCUGGGGAUUUGUUGUGGCCCAGAGGACCCAGAGAGCCUCCCGAGGACCUGGUUAGAUUUGUGCCCUCUACUGCUUUCCAAGAGAGAGCCCUCUCCCUGUCCCUCUCCCUCUCCCUCCCUGUCCGUCAUGUGAUUCUGUACCACAGCUCUCCUGCUGUGAGGUGUUGGCCUGGAGACUAUGUCAAACAAAAUCCAAAAUGUGGAUUGUUCACCUACACCUGAUCCUCGACAACCCACCACUGACAGAAACAACUUACUCUGUUCAACCUAAUGAGUUCACCGUCACCCUUCAAACCGGCAGCUGCAGACCCUGACCCUGGCCAUGACAUCAGGUACAAGGCCAUGACAUCAGGUACAAGGCCAUGACAUCAAGUACAAGGCCUUGACACCAUCAGCUUUGUGGCCGGGUACAUUCGGGAGCUGUGAUACUCUCUUGACUUGGGACCGUGAGGUCUCCAAGCAGUUUUCGUCAAGGGAGCUGGAUGUGUAACUGCUUUGCCCGUGGCUCUCUCACUCUUUUCUUAUUCCUCUGUAUGUGCUGACAGGGCUGCCUUUACAUGAACUGCCGAUAGCCAUUUGUUUCUGGGGAGGAUGCCGAUGCACUGAAGAGAGUACAUGCCUAGUUGUCUCUUUUUUUUCUUCUUCUUUUAUUAAAGUAGGUUAACCAUGGUGUACUAUUGGAUAGAGAAACUGACAAAGUCUUGUUGGACUAAGCAACUGCAGAUCUCCACAAAGUAUUUGUACUGUCGCUCUAUAGCUGCGUAACAGCAACACAAAUGUGGGUAAGAGCAUGUAAGGUACUUACACUAUGUUCAUUCUUACACCUCUCGCUCACUCAUUCUUUCUCUGUGUCUGCUAUCUCUGUCUAAGCUGUGCUGUUUCCUCUCCACCAGAUAAUCUAAAUCUUCCUAACCUCUGUCUGCCUUCUUAUUCUGCUUGUCUCUCUCUCUCGGUCUUACCUCUCUUAUGUCUCUUUCUCUCCUCUCUAAUGUCUCUCCUCUCUUAUGUGUCUCUGUCUGUCUCUCUCUCCUGUCCGUCUCUCCUGCUUUCGUUUUCCCUCCACAAGCUAACUUUACUCUUUUCUGAUGCCAUAGGAGAACAUGUGCAAUAGGUUUGUGAUGUACAUCGUCAGACCAGCAUGUUGAGAUCUCUAGGGACAGCGGCAAGCUUGGUCCUCUGAGCUUCAAGCUGAGCCGAUUUUCGUUUUAGUUUUUUUUGUGCAAAAUAAUGAAUGACGAAAAAUGCUGAGCUAUAGUGUUUGUUGUCGUACAUUUUGGGAGAACACUCAAAAAGAAACGUGUGGUUGAUACACAUCCAUCUAAUCAUUCAGAUCUAUUUUCACUUUCAACCAAUUCGUUCUGGGAAAUUUCUUUCAGAAUCCAAAGACAAUGUAAGUGCCCGCAAAAUACUUCAACUGCAGAUUUGCUCAGAUCAGCUAAAUUCAUCCAGGUUUUAUUUAGUGUAAGCAAGUUGUUCAGAGAUUAGAUCAAUUGAAAUGAUUUGGUGGCAUUUGACCUGUUUUGCAGUAAAGACUACUGCAACAUAACACAGCGUAGCACAACAGCGUAGCACAACAGCGUAGCACAACAGCCACAACUGCUCCGUCUCCCUGUUGAUGUUUUUCACUCUGAUUGUCUGAAGAAGGCUUCGUAGAGCAAUUGUGACCUUUUUGAUCCACGUUUGCUGUGCAUUUAAAGGAUGUUCGUUUAAUUUUCCAAUCUUACACUUGCACAUAAUGGCACAUACAGCGUAGCACAUAACAUGACCUGUAAACGAUAUGACUACUAAAACAAAAAACGUCUAAACGAUAUUACAAACGGUGCGGUGUUAUAGCGUCUGCCUGGUGCUAGCAGCUAAGAGGGGGAUCAGAUAAUGUUUUCCCCAACAUUCAAGUCUUUUAUAGUUCCUUGCAUUCCAGAUGGCAAUAUUAGUGUAAGAUGGCUUCUUAUUGGUUUGUUUUACGAUGUUUUUGAAUUUCUGACUUUAUUAGUAUUAAUUGAUUCAUGUGUUCAACAAUUUUUUUUCUUUUUAAGAUUUGAUUAAAUGUUUUGUUGAUGGGAUUUAAUUUAGUGUUUUAUUUUGCAAGUCUUGGUCAAGAUUGUUCAAACAUUUCUCUAUUGGGUCAUUGAGAUAGAAUGUCUUGAACAUUUAACGUGGACAUACUAAUAUAAACUCUCAAACUAUCAUCCAUUUCAGUUGGUCUACACCAACCUUUUUGAACCUGAGAGCUACUUCAUGGGCACUGAGUCAUACGGGGGGCACCCAGUUUGAUACACCCUUCUGAAAUAACAAAUUUGCUCAGCUUGCCUUUAGUUAUAUAUUAUUAUUAAUGAUGAAUGAUACUCAUCUAUGUGAAGACACUGAUCAUGAUAAUGAUUUCUCACAAUAAUUAUCAACAAUGACUUAAAAAAGGUGUGAAAGAGUUGUUAUUGCUUUUUUACACCUUGGUAUAAUGUAUCUUAUUGGCCAGAGUACGAAAUGUAUUUGGAAACUGUUCAUGCCACUUGCAUUCCAUGUUUGUCACUAUUCAAUUUGGUUUGCUGUGACUAUUUUGUGAUAUUAAAUAUACAAAUUUG